AUUGAACGCUGGCGGCAGGCCUAACACAUGCAAGUCGCACGAGUGGCGGACGGGUGAGUAAUGCCUGGGAAACUGCCCGAUGGAGGGGGAUAACAACUGGAAACGGUAGCUAAUACCGCAUACCAUCGGAUGUGCCCAGAUGGGAUUAGCUUGUAGGUGGGGUAACGGCGCACCUAGGCGACGAUCCCUAGCUGGUCUGCGAGGAUGACCAGCCACACUGGAGCUGAGACACGGUCCAGACUCCUACGGGAGGCAGCAGUGGGGAAGAUUGCACAAGGGGCGCAAGCCUGAUGCAGCCAUGCCGCGUGGAUGGAGAAGGCCUGCGGGUUGUAAAGUGCUUUCAGCGAGGAGGCGUUACUCGCAGAAGAAGCAUCGGCUAACUCCGUGCCAGCAGCCGCGGUAAUAC
rnacentral:rRNA from 1 species